ACGAGCGUAGCUUCCUUGUCGUGUGGCCUCAGUCCUUCGCCGUCCCUCGCCGUCCUUCGCCAUCGCACGCCACCGCACCCCAUCUCUCGAAAUCUGCAGACAUCUUGAUUUUUCCCACGCUGUCUGUCAGGUCUCCGCCGCCACUCGACGCCAGGGCGCCGGGCCUUGUGGGCUGUGCUGCACCUCGGACGGCUUCGCACCAGCCAGCGCCCUCUCUCUCCUGCAGCACUCUGAUCUGCACCCCCUGAGGGGCUUCCACUGUCCGCGGGGUGAGAAUGCCCCUGGGAGUGUCACAUGACUGCCGCCCCAUGUGUGUGAGAGGCGUCCUCUGGGAGAGCAUGGAUCCUGAGGUCCCAGGAACAUCCCGAGAGCCAAGUUCCCAGAUGCCAGCCAAGGGCCAUCUGACCUGUUUUGAAUCUCAAUUUCCUGAUACAGAAAACAAAGGAUUGUCAGCUGACCUCUGUCCUGUGUGCCCAGUGGCCCCAGGUGACGUGUCUUCAAGAAGAGGCUGAGCUGCGGUGCUUGUAAGGGUCUCAUUCUGUCACCCAGGCUGGAGUGCAGUGGUGCAAUGAUGGCUCACUGCAGCCUCGACCUGGGCUCAAGUGAUCCUCCACCUCAGCUUCCUGAGUAGCUGGGACCACAGAGUCAUGUGCUGUUCCUGGGGCUUGGAUGAUGUAGGGGAAGCAAGGUGAAAGUGGUAUCCCGUGGUUCCACGUUCUGUCCUGCUGUGGGGCUGUCCCUCACAUGCUUUCAGUGGCUGUUGCAGAGGAAGAGCCUCCGGAAAUCUGCGUGGGUCUCAGCCUUAGAUCCAAGGACAGUCCAAGGAAGUCCUAAGACCAUGGAGUUGGUGAUCUGGGAUCUGGGUUUGCUGAUAUUUCUCACCGUGAAUCUCUUGGUGGUGUUUGUGGGCACGAGAGGGGCAGAGAAUGGAGAGUGAGGCUACCACAUGAAGCGUCACCAGAGCUGCUCCCUGCUGCCUGCUCAGAGCACCCCGGAUCCACUGUUCAAUCUGCACAAGAUUCGGGGUCCAGACAUGGGAGACUUCAGCUGCCUCAGAGGACCGUGGACAGGGAAGGCCAGCCUCGCAUCCCUCUGUCCAUGCCUGGAAUGACUUUAAUAACCAAGAGUUUUAUUUUUGAAUUUGUAGCUGUCGUUCACUUUUUACCCACCCAUUCAAUAAACCUUACAGAAUUGC
rnacentral:lncRNA from 1 species